UCAGUUCUGUUCAUAAUCUCAUCUGGUAAUUGAAGUGAUCUAUUUUUUAAAAAAAGAAACUUCAUUAUCAUUUCAGAUUGUAAUCGAAAUGA
rnacentral:pre_miRNA from 1 species